GGAGGUCGCGCGCGCGGUGACGGGCCUCGGUGACGAGCUCGCAUUCGUCGCCCGCUCCACCGGUGACCCGCGCCUCAGCUCUCCCCCCGACCCCUCCCUUGGAUCCCAUCUCACCUCCGUGGCUCCGUCCGUCACCAAGCUCCCUCCCUUCCUCUCUCAUCUCCCAGAUCAUCUCCGGCCCCAAGCUCCCUCCCGUUCGAUGUCAAGUGUUCAGUGUGCCUCCACAACUUGGACGCAGAGCAGUUCAAGGAAUUUCUAUGGUGAUGAAUUUGCUCCUUGAGUACAAACUGUGACGAUGAGCAGAGGUAUGG